rnacentral:tRNA from 3 species
AUUUAAAUAGUUUAAUUUAAAAUAUUGAUUUGUGGAAUCAAUGAUGUACUAUUGUAUUUUAAAUA